AGUGAACGUUGGCGACGUGGAUUAGGCAUGCAAGUCGAGCGAGAACCGUAGCAAUACGGGGACAGCGGCGAAAGGGACAGUAAUGUGUAGGUACCUACCUCCGGGUUCGGGAUAGCUGCGGGAAACUGCAGGUAAUACCGAAUAACGUCUCCGGACCAAAGGUGUGAUUCCACCUGGAGAGGGGCCUGCAUCCUAUUAGCUUGUUGGCGGGGUAACGGCCCACCAAGGCGACGAUGGGUAGCGGGUGUGAGAGCACGACCCGCGUCAUUGGGACUGAGACACUGCCCAGAGACCUACGGGUGGCUGCAGUCGUGAAUCUUCGGCAAUGGGCGCAAGCCUGACCGAGCGACGCCGCGUGCGGGAUGAAGGCCCUCGGGUUGUAAACCGCUGUCGUAGAGGAGGAAAUGUAGGGGGGUUCUCCCCUCUGUUUGACCUAUUCUAGGAGGAAGUACGGGCUAAGUUCGUGCCAGCCGCCGCCGUAA
rnacentral:rRNA from 1 species